rnacentral:rRNA from 1 species
UCGAGAAUUUUUCACAAUGGGGGAAACCCUGAUGGAGCGACGCCGCGUGGAGGAUGAAGGCGUUUUCGUUGUAAACUCCUGUCAAACGGGAACAAGAAAGUGAUAGUACCGUUAGAGGAAGAGACGGCUAACUCUGUGCCAGCAGCCGCGGUAAUACAGAGGUCUCAAGCGUUGUUCGGAUUCAUUGGGCGUAAAGGGUGCGUAGGUGGCUUGUUAAGUUGAAGGUGAAAUCUCGGGGCUCAACUCCGAAACUGCCUUCAAUACUGGCGAGCUCGAGGACUGUAGAGGAGAAUGGAAUUCACGGUGUAGCAGUGAAAUGCGUAGAUAUCGUGAGGAAGACCAGUGGCGAAGGCGAUUCUCUGGGCAGUUCCUGACACUGAGGCACGAAGGCCAGGGGAGCAAACGGG